UCACACUUCUUUCUCACUGGAUCUGGAUGUCACAAAGCAAAGCCCACAUUUUGUAAUUAAGCUCCAUGCCCCUUUUUUGGCCAAUUGCA